UACAGAGGGGGCAAGCGUUGUUCGGAAUUACUGGGCGUAAAGGGCGCGUAGGCGGCCUGUUAAGUCAGACGUGAAAUCCCUCGGCUCAACCGGGGAACUGCGUCUGAUACUGGCGGGCUUGAAUUCGGGAGAGGGAUGUGGAAUUCCAGGUGUAGCGGUGAAAUGCGUAGAUAUCUGGAGGAACACCGGUGGCGAAGGCGGCAUCCUGGACCGGUAUUGACGCUGAGGCGCGAAAGCCAGGGGAGCAAACGGG
rnacentral:rRNA from 1 species